rnacentral:rRNA from 1 species
AUUGAACGCUGGCGGCAUGCCUUACACAUGCAAGUCGAACGGCAGCGCGGGGGUAACCCUGGCGGCGAGUGGCGAACGGGUGAGUAAUAUAUCGGAACGUACCCAAGAGUGGGGGAUAACGUAGCGAAAGUUACGCUAAUACCGCAUACGAUCUAAGGAUGAAAGCAGGGGACCGCAAGGCCUUGUGCUCCUGGAGCGGCCGAUAUCUGAUUAGCUAGUUGGUGGGGUAAAGGCCUACCAAGGCAUCGAUCAGUAGCUGGUCUGAGAGGACGACCAGCCACACUGGGACUGAGACACGGCCCAGACUCCUACGGGAGGCAGCAGUGGGGAAUUUUGGACAAUGGGGGCAACCCUGAUCCAGCAAUGCCGCGUGAGUGAAGAAGGCCUUGGUUGUAAGCUCUUUGUCUAGGGAAGAAACGGUUAGUGGCUAAUAUCCAUGGCUAAUGACGGUACC